CAUCACAUCACGGAUUGAGAUCCGAUUUUAUCAUUAUUAUAGCCACAAUGAAGAAAUUUAUUUGCAGUGGCUAAACCCACCCCGUCCCGCAGCUUAUAUUUAUAUUUUGCACAUUCUCUCAUUCAACGUCUUCUUCGCGCGGUGUGCGGCCUCUGCCUCUGCCGUACCUCUGCCAUGACUCUGCAGUGUGAGGCUCUAGGGAAGGGGGCGAGCUUAAGGAGCGUGUUGGAAAAAAAGUAAAAUUUUACAAAAAAAAACCGCUAAGGUACAGAUGUAGUACUGAGUACCGGGUGUAAGAGUUGUGACGCGUAAGAAGCGUUUCACACGUCCCUUCUCGUUUUUUUUCGGAAUUUUUUGAUUAAAGUCUGAAAGUGCGCUGUUCGUUUAUGGCCAAGUCGAGACCGAAAUCCCAAAAAAUUCAAGACGUUUUUUUGUAUGUACAACAUUAAAAAGCAGCACGAAGUCACCACAUGAUAUUUUGGGAAUGGCUAUUGGAAUGGUGGGGAGGAGAGUCCACGAAUAAUUUCAUAAGGGCUCCGAACCGUAGGACUGCCGCUCAAAUGCGGUUGCACUGGUAAAAAGAUAAACCACAUAAAAAUAAGCAAGACAGCGCAGCGCUCACAUCUGACACUGUUAUUGUAAUUCGAGAGCCUGGCCAUAUUAGGUGGCAAUUUUGGCACUCGAUUGACGAACUGACUCAAUGGCUAACUGGCAGACUGGCUAACUGACACGCUCCACGAGCCAAGAAGCAACAUAUCCGAUAUCAGUCGGUAGGUUUGACAAAUCAUGUUUCUGGGGCAUUUAUCCAAUGGGAUGAUCUUGAAUAUUGCAAC
rnacentral:lncRNA from 1 species